GCUUCGUUAGCUCAGUUGGUAGAGCACCUGACUCUUAAUCAGGGUGUCGGCGGUUCGAACCCGCCACGGAGUACCA
rnacentral:tRNA from 1 species